GAUGAACGCUGACAGAAUGCUUAACACAUGCAAGUCGACUGUGGCGGACGGGUGAGUAACGCGUAAAGAACUUGCCUCACAGUUAGGGACAACCUUUGGAAACGAAUGCUAAUACCUGAUACUGUGAGAGAGCUUUGCGUCCCAUUAGCUAGUUGGAGAGGUAAGGGCUCACCAAGGCGAUGAUGGGUAGCCGGCCUGAGAGGGUGAUCGGCCACAAGGGGACUGGGAGACGGCCCUUAGUCCUACGGGGGGCAGGAGUGAGGAAUAUUGGACAAUGGACCAAAGUCUGAUCCAGCAAUUCUGUGUGCAAGAUGAAGUUUUCGGAAUGAAAAGUGCUUUGAGUAUAGAAGCGGUACCAACAGAAGAAGUGACGGCUAACUACGUGCCAGCAGCCGCGGUAAUUC
rnacentral:rRNA from 1 species